rnacentral:tRNA from 1 species
GGGGGCAUAGCGCAGCCCGGAAAGCGCAAGCGCCUUACAAGCGAGAGGUCCCUGGUUCAAAUCCAGGUGCCCCCACCA